CCUUUGUACACACCGCCCGUCGCUACUACCGAUUGAAUGGCUUAGUGAGGCCUCCGGACCGGCUAUUGGGACCCCGCGAGGGGACCUGACUGCUGGGAAGUUGUACGAACUUGGUCAUUUAGAGG
rnacentral:rRNA from 1 species